rnacentral:snRNA from 1 species
AUUGCUUCUUAGCCUUUUGGCCAAGAUCAAGUGUAGUUUGUUCUUAUCAGUUUAGUAUAAGACAGGAAAAACAUUUUCAUAUGUGUAGAAUUUAAGUCGUAUACCAUUC